GACGAACGCUGGCGGCGUGCUUAACACAUGCAAGUCGAACGGAAAGGCCCUGCUUUUGUGGGGUGCUCGAGUGGCGAACGGGUGAGUAACACGUGAGUAACCUGCCCUUGACUUUGGGAUAACUUCAGGAAACUGGGGCUAAUACCGGAUAGGAGCUCCUGCUGCAUGGUGGGGGUUGGAAAGUUUCGGCGGUUGGGGAUGGACUCGCGGCUUAUCAGCUUGUUGGGGGGGUAGUGGCUUACCAAGGCUUUGACGGGUAGCCGGCCUGAGGGGGUGACCGGCCACAUUGGGACUGAGAUACGGCCCAGACUCCUACGGGAGGCAGCAGUGGGGAAUAUUGCACAAUGGGCGGAAGCCUGAUGCAGCAACGCCGCGUGCGGGAUGACGGCCUUCGGGUUGUAAACCGCUUUCGCCUGUGACGAAGCGUGAGUGACGGUAAUGGGUAAAGAAGCACCGGCUAACUACGUG
rnacentral:rRNA from 1 species